GGCGGAGUUAUCAGUAGGUUUAUUAGUUUUCUUCAUUUUUCUCUCUUGUUUUUUGUGUUUCGGAACUGCUAUGCAGUAGAUAACAACACCAUUACAUCAACCAAAGCCAUAACUGACUCUCAGACUCUAACUUCCACCGGCGAGGUAUUCAAACUCGGCUUUUUCAGUCCUCCAAAUUCUACAGAUCGUUAUGUCGGGAUAUGGUACGAAUUUGAUCCUAGACAUAAACAUUGUAUGGGUUGCAAACAGGGAUAAGCCGCUAAAAGAUUCACCGGGAACCUUAAGAAUUGUAGAAGAUGGAAAUCUUGUGGUUGUAGAUGGACGAGGGGUUGUUUAUUGGACUCUAAUACUACUGCACCUAAUAAUUCAGUUGCCGAGCUAUUAGAUACCGGAAACCUUGAGUUUAGAUUGCUAAAUGAGUCUGUAUGGCAGAGUUUCGAUCACCCAACCCAUACUUUUCUUCCAGGGAUGAAGAUUGGUGGAAGUACAGUAACGGGAAAGAAACAAGAGCUCACAUCGUGGAAAAGCGAAUCAAAUCCUACAACAGGGAUUUUUUCACUCAUGCUCGAGCUACUUGGUGGUCAUCCUCAGCUGGUCAUUUAGAGAAGUGGGUUUAAGUUUCGACUUUGGCGAAGUGGUCCGUGGAAUAGUAUAAUAUUCAUUGGCAUAGCUGACAUGACAUAUGCUCAGGCUUUCUCUUUGUCAGAAGAUACAUAUAAGCUUCAAAGAUCCUAAUAAAAUAUACCCGCAAUUCGUAUUGGAUCACCAUGGAGCAUUCCUUGGAAAGCAGUGGGAUGCGGAUCUGAACAAUUGGCAUGAAUUUUGGUCAUCACAAAGUAAUACAUGUGAUACUUAUGGAACAUGUGGCUCUUUCGGUAUUUGCAAUCCAUCAAAUUCGCCAAUUUGCAGUUGUCUAAUAGGAUUAAAACCCAAGUUUGAAGAUGAAUAGAGUGAGGGAAACUGGUCAGGUGGGUGUGUCAGGAUUAUGCAAUUGGAGUGCCAAGAUAGCAGCUUCGGGAAUCCAAAAACUCUGGAUGGGUCCAAAAAAUUGGGAAGCAUGAAAGUGCCUGAUUAUGUUAUUGCUUCAUUGUUACUUGUAACAGAGAUAGAUGAUUGUGAAAUGAUCUGCUUGACGAACUGUUUGUGCUUAGCUUAUUCAUAUGAUAAUCUAGUUGACAUACAAAAGUUAAUUACUUUUGUAUGUAAUAGUUAUUGUAGUCCUUGUCGGAACACUUUGCCAUCAACAUUUGCACGUACUUCUUCUGUAAGUGUCCGCUGACAAAGCAAAGAGGAAAUAUUGAUGCCUAUUUGGACGAUACCCCCGAAGAGACUCCAGAUACUUCAGAUCAAGUGAAAGUUUUCAAAUUUAAAGAGCUAGCAACUUCCACAAAUAAUUUUACUGGAGCUAAUAUGCUUGGCCAAGGUGGAUUUGGGCAAGUGUACAAGGUGACGGAUAGGAAAUAGCCGUGAAGAGGCUUUCAAAGGGUUCUAUACAAGGCUUAGAGGAGUUCAAAAAUGAAGUCAUAGUGAUUUCAAAAGUUCAGCACAGGAAUCUGGUUAGACUUUUAGGUUGUUGUCUUGAAGGGGUGCCUAACAAAAGCUUGGACGCCUUCCUUUUCGGUUUGAUUCUCUUUCACUGAAUCAAUUCCAUGUGCUUAUGUCGACGUGUGUUUUCCAGUACUUGUUUACUUUUUCAUGUAACUUCGCUUGCUCUGGUGUUUUUGUGUGAGAUCCAACGAAGCGAGAACACUUAGAUUGGAAAAAGAGAUUCCACAUCAUCGAAGGGAUAAGCAGGGGAAUGUUGUAUCUACAUAGAGAUUCUAGAAUUAGGGUGAUUCAUAGAGUAGAGACCUUAAAGUUAGUAACAUUCUAUUGGAUGAAGGCCUGAAUCCGAAAAUUUCAGAUAUUCGGAGGUAAUGAACAACAAGCAAGUACUAGAAGAAUAGUUGGGACACUGUAAGUAAAAGAAUUUGUUUCAAUGGUGUGCAUUAGCGGUUUGAGUAGCAAUAAAAUUGUGAUAGAUUCCU